rnacentral:rRNA from 1 species
UACGAAGGGGGCUAGCGUUGCUCGGAAUUAUUGGGCGUAAAGAGCUCGUAGGCGGCCUGUUGCGUCCGCUGUGAAAGCCCGGGGCUUAACCCCGGGUCUGCAGUGGAUACGGGCAGGCUAGAGGUAGGUAGGGGAGAAUGGAAUUCCCGGUGUAGCGGUGAAAUGCGCAGAUAUCGGGAGGAACACCGGUGGCGAAGGCGGUUCUCUGGGCCUUACCUGACGCUGAGGAGCGAAAGCGUGGGGAGCGAACAGG